CCUUCCCCAUCUCGGACGAAGAGAGGGGCAGACGGGGGGGGCCGAGAGCGCAGAGCAGCGACGACGCAAGCAGCCUAGUUAGCAGCGACAGGCUGUUCUACACUCAACAGGGGACCUUAGAAAAAGCAAAGAUGACCUGUACUUACGUUACAUGUCCUCUGUGUGGACACUGACCAUUGAGUAUGGAAGUAAACCGCCCAGACCAUCGCCACAAACCCUGCACAAAGCUGACUGCGCUUCCACUAAAUGAUAUCAUAGCUGGCUAGAGAUGUCGUCAGCUGGUGUCGCAGCCCAGGUCCAGGGGAUGUAGGCUUGCCGAUGUGCCAAUCGGACAGGAACAGACCACGCGGCACUGCAGCUCAGCUGGCCCCACUAAGGAAAACCCAACACGAACCACGAUGUCUUGGUCCCGCAAAG